rnacentral:tRNA from 1 species
UUAGCUCAGCUGGGAGAGCAUCUGCCUUACAAGCAGGGGGUCAUAGGUUCGAGCCCUAUAGGUCCCA